AUCGUGAAAUCGGUCAUACCGUUACAUGACCAGGUUAUCGUGAAGGUGCCUACGUACACGUGACGGAUGGACCUGCGUUCCAUAGCUAGGUGGUGUAGGGUAACGACUACCAAGGGCAUGAUGGCUAGGCGACCUUGAGAGGGUGAUUCGCCACAUGGAAUAAACACCGCCAGAACUCCUACGGGAGGGCCAGCCAGUAGAGGAAAUCUUCCGCCAUUGGACGAUAAUUUCUGAACGGAAGGCAACCGCCGGCAGUGAGGAAAGGAAGGUUUUUCGGAUCUGUAAAAAACUUUCGUUUGUUAAGGAGAAGGAACAAGUGGCUGAUGAGUAAUAUGUCCGCCCCUUGACGGUACUCUAACCAGAAGCCACGGCUAACUACGUGCCAGCAGCCGCGGUAAUACGUAGGUGGCAAGCGUUGUCCGGAAUUAUUGGGCGUAAAGCGAGCGCAGGCGGUUUCUUAAGUCUGAUGUGAAAGCCCCCGGCUCAACCGGGGAGGGUCAUUGGAAACUGGGAAACUUGAGUGCAGAAGAGGAGAGUGGAAUUCCAUGUGUAGCGGUGAAAUGCGUAGAUAUGUGGAGGAACACCAGUGGCGAAGGCGACUCUCUGGUCUGUAACUGACGCUGAGGCUCGAAAGCGUGGGGAGCAAACAGGAUUAGAUACCCUGGUAGUCCACGCCGUAAACGAUGAGUGCUAAGUGUUGGAGGGUUUCCGCCCUUCAGUGCUGCAGCAAACGCAUUAAGCACUCCGCCUGGGGAGUACGGCCGCAAGACUGAAACUCAAAGGAAUUGACGGGGGCCCGCACAAGCGGUGGAGCAUGUGGUUUAAUUCGAAGCAACGCGAAGAACCUUACCAGGUCUUGACAUCCUUUGACCACCCUAGAGAUAGGGCUUCCCCUUCGGGGGCAAAGUGACAGGUGGUGCAUGGUUGUCGUCAGCUCGUGUCGUGAGAUGUUGGGUUAAGUCCCGCAACGAGCGCAACCCUUGAUUGUUAGUUGCCAUCAUUCAGUUGGGCACUCUAACGAGACUGCCGGUGACAAACCGGAGGAAGGUGGGGAUGACGUCAAAUCAUCAUGCCCCUUAUGACCUGGGCUACACACGUGCUACAAUGGGCAAGAUACAAAGAGCAGCGAAGCCGCGAGGCUAAGCCAAUCUCACAAAUCUUGUUCUCAGUUCGGAUUGUCAGGUCUGCAACUCGCACUAGCAUGAAGCCGGAAUCGCUAGUAAUCGCGAUCCACCAAGGUUCCUCCAGA
rnacentral:rRNA from 1 species